UGGGUAGGGGAGCGUUCUGUAAGCCUGUGAAGGUGGCCUGUGAGGGUUGCUGGAGGUAUCAGAAGUGCGAAUGCUGACAUAAGUAACGAUAAAGCGGGUGAAAAGCCCGCUCGCCGGAAGACCAAGGGUUCCUGUCCAACGUUAAUCGGGGCAGGGUGAGUCGACCCCUAAGGCGAGGCCGAAAGGCGUAGUCGAUGGGAAACGGGUUAAUAUUCCCGUACUUGGUGUUACUGCGAAGGGGGGACGGAGAAGGCUAUGUUGGCCGGGCGACGGUUGUCCCGGUUUAAGCGUGUAGGUGUGUGUUCCAGGUAAAUCCGGUUCACUUUAACACUGAGGCGUGAUGACGAGGCACUACGGUGCUGAAGCAACAAAUGCCCUGCUUCCAGGAAAAGCCUCUAAGCAUCAGGUAACAUCAAAUCGUACCCCAAACCGACACAGGUGGUCAGGUAGAGAAUACCAAGGCGCUUGAGAGAACUCGGGUGAAGGAACUAGGCAAAAUGGUGCCGUAACUUCGGGAGAAGGCACGCUGACACGUAGGUGAAGUGAUUUACUCAUGGAGCUGAAGUCAGUCGAAGAUACCAGCUGGCUGCAACUGUUUAUUAAAAACACAGCACUGUGCAAACACGAAAGUGGACGUAUACGGUGUGACGCCUGCCCGGUGCCGGAAGGUUAAUUGAUGGGGUCAGCGCAAGCGAAGCUCCUGAUCGAAGCCCCGGUAAACGGCGGCCGUAACUAUAACGGUCCUAAGGUAGCGAAAUUCCUUGUCGGGUAAGUUCCGACCUGCACGAAUGGCGUAAUGAUGGCCAGGCUGUCUCCACCCGAGACUCAGUGAAAUUGAACUCGCUGUGAAGAUGCAGUGUACCCGCGGCAAGACGGAAAGACCCCGUGAACCUUUACUAUAGCUUGACACUGAACAUUGAGCCUUGAUGUGUAGGAUAGGUGGGAGGCUUUGAAGCGUGGACGCCAGUCUGCGUGGAGCCGACCUUGAAAUACCACCCUUUAAUGUUUGAUGUUCUAACGUGGACCCGUGAUCCGGGUUGCGGACAGUGUCUGGUGGGUAGUUUGACUGGGGCGGUCUCCUCCUAAAGAGUAACGGAGGAGCACGAAGGUUGGCUAAUCCUGGUCGGACAUCAGGAGGUUAGUGCAAUGGCAUAAGCCAGCUUGACUGCGAGCGUGACGGCGCGAGCAGGUGCGAAAGCAGGUCAUAGUGAUCCGGUGGUUCUGAAUGGAAGGGCCAUCGCUCAACGGAUAAAAGGUACUCCGGGGAUAACAGGCUGAUACCGCCCAAGAGUUCAUAUCGACGGCGGUGUUUGGCACCUCGAUGUCGGCUCAUCACAUCCUGGGGCUGAAGUAGGUCCCAAGGGUAUGGCUGUUCGCCAUUUAAAGUGGUACGCGAGCUGGGUUUAGAACGUCGUGAGACAGUUCGGUCCCUAUCUGCCGUGGGCGCUGGAGAACUGAGGGGGGCUGCUCCUAGUACGAGAGGACCGGAGUGGACGCAUCACUGGUGUUCGGGUUGUCAUGCCAAUGGCACUGCCCGGUAGCUAAAUGCGGAAGAGAUAAGUGCUGAAAGCAUCUAAGCACGAAACUUGCCCCGAGAUGAGUUCU
rnacentral:rRNA from 1 species